rnacentral:rRNA from 1 species
UACGAAGGGGCUAGCGUUGCUCGGAAUCACUGGGCGUAAAGCGCACGUAGGCGGAUCUUUAAGUCAGGGGUGAAAUCCUGGAGCUCAACUCCAGAACUGCCUUUGAUACUGGGGAUCUCGAGUCCGGAAGAGGUGAGUGGAACUCCGAGUGUAGAGGUGAAAUUCGUAGAUAUUCGGAAGAACACCAGUGGCGAAGGCGGCUCACUGGUCCGGUACUGACGCUGAGGUGCGAAAGCG